rnacentral:lncRNA from 1 species
CUUUAAAAUUGUUAAAACUCUGUACAUUUUGAGACAUAUACACAUGUUGAUUUGAAACCACUGUAUCCAGUCAAUUUGACUCAGACAUUUCCUCAAGACUUAACAAAAUUGUCCUUUUCUUUCUUGCUUGCUUUUUUAUAUUGCUCAUACUAAGGAAAAAACCCUGAUGUUGUACAUAACAUUGAAAUUAUUGAUUUCAGCCCAGAGAAGCAAGGAAAUUCAGAAUUAAGCAACAGUCUCUGAGAAAACAUUCAUACAACAAUCUGGUUGUUUUAUUGUCUGAAUCUGUCAGGACAGUCAUUUUGUUACUCAAACUUUGUGAUCCCCUUGCAAGCUGUAAACUGUUUAAUGAGGUGAGUAUAUUGAGAAAGAUGACAGACUUUCAAACUUUUGGAAGAGAGUAUUACAUCAGAGGCAUUAGUUUUUACUCUUGGGACUGUUCUUAACACACAUAUAGCAAAAAUAUUGAAUUAGAUUGAACAUUUUCAG